GGGGAUGUGGCUCAAGCGAUAGCGCGCUCGCCUAGCAUGCGUGCGGCCCGAGUUCGAUCCUCAGCAGCACCA
rfam:Ictidomys tridecemlineatus contig073407, whole genome shotgun sequence.